rnacentral:rRNA from 1 species
GACGAACGCUGGCGGCGUGCUUAACACAUGCAAGUCGAACGAAGAGCGACGGAAGCUUGCUUCUAUCAAUCUUAGUGGCGAACGGGUGAGUAACGCGUAAUCAACCUGCCCUUCAGAGGGGGACAACAGUUGGAAACGACUGCUAAUACCGCAUACGAUCUAAUCUCGGCAUCGAGGAUAGAUGAAAGGUGGCCUCUACAUGUAAGCUAUCACUGAAGGAGGGGAUUGCGUCUGAUUAGCUAGUUGGAGGGGUAACGGCCCACCAAGGCGAUGAUCAGUAGCCGGUCUGAGAGGAUGAACGGCCACAUUGGGACUGAGACACGGCCCAGACUCCUACGGGAGGCAGCAGUGGGGAAUCUUCCGCAAUGGACGAAAGUCUGACGGAGCAACGCCGCGUGAGCGAUGACGGCCUUCGGGUUGUAAAGCUCUGUUAAUCGGGACGAAAGGCCUUCUUGCGAAUAGUGAGAAGGAUUGACGGUACCGGAAUAGAAAGCCACGGCUAACUACGUG